rnacentral:rRNA from 1 species
UACGGAGGGGGCUAGCGUUGUUCGGAUUUAUUGGGCGUAAAGAGCGUGUAGGCGGCCAUGUAGGUCCGUUGUGAAAACUCGAGGCUCAACCUCGAGACGCCGAUGGAAACCAUAUGGCUAGAGUCCGGAAGAGGAGAGUGGAAUUCCUGGUGUAGCGGUGAAAUGCGCAGAUAUCAGGAAGAACACCCGUGGCUAAGGCGGCUCUCUAGUACGGUACUGACGCUGAGACGCGAAAGCGUGGGGAGCAAACAGG